rnacentral:rRNA from 1 species
CUACGGGAGGCAGCAGUGGGGAAUAUUGGACAAUGGGCGAAAGCCUGAUCCAGCCAUGCCGCGUGUGUGAAGAAGGCCUUCGGGUUGUAAAGCACUUUCAGUGGGGAAGAAAGCCUUGGGGCUAAUACCCUCGAGGAAGGACAUCACCCACAGAAGAAGCACCGGCUAACUCCGUGCCAGCAGCCGCGGUAAUACGGAGGGUGCGAGCGUUAAUCGGAAUUACUGGGCGUAAAGCGCGCGUAGGCGGUCUGAUAAGCCGGUUGUGAAAGCCCCGGGCUCAACCUGGGAACGGCAUCCGGAACUGUCAGGCUAGAGUGCAGGAGAGGAAGGUAGAAUUCCCGGUGUAGCGGUGAAAUGCGUAGAGAUCGGGAGGAAUACCAGUGGCGAAGGCGGCCUUCUGGACUGACACUGACGCUGAGGUGCGAAAGCGUGGGUAGCAAACAGGAUUAGAUACCCCGGUAGUC